AUGAAUACUUCAGGGAAGGAUGUGAAAACCGGGGAGUUGAUAAAACAAGAGUUUGUUUGCAACAAGUUUCGAAAGCCUGAUGUUGAUGACGGAGGGGCAGAAAGGAUUCCUGUGCUAGAUGACAUUGUUGAGCAAGAAAAAGAUGAUAAUGAAGAUGAGGCUAUUGUCUUUCUUGAUGAUGAUAGUAAAGGCAAAAAGAUGAGCAAGAAACGAAAAAGAGAUAAAAUUGUGCAAACUGGUUGCAAAGCUAAGAUGAUUGUGAAGGUAAUAGAUGGCAGAUGGGAGGUGAUCUACUUUGUUGGCGAGCACAACCAUCCGUUGGUUGACAAGCCAUGUUUGACUAAGUAUUUGCGAUCACACCAAGGGAUCCCGCUAGAAGAAAGGGUCUUCCUUACUCAUCUUCAUAACUGCAAUUUAACUACAGGUUUUAAACCACACCCCCUCCCCCCUACCUUCUAA
rnacentral:rRNA from 1 species